rnacentral:rRNA from 1 species
UAGUAUCAGCGUGCCAGCAGCCGCGGUAAUACGUAGGGUGCAAGCGUUAAUCGGAAUUACUGGGCGUAAAGCGUGCGCAGGCGGUGAUGUAAGACAGGUGUGAAAUCCCCGGGCUUAACCUGGGAACUGCAUUUGUGACUGCAUCGCUGGAGUGCGGCAGGAGGGGGAUGGAAUUCCGCGUGUAGCAGUGAAAUGCGUAGAUAUGCGGAGGAACACCGAUGGCGAAGGCAAUCCCCUGGGCCUGCACUGACGCUCAUGCACGAAAGCGUGGGGAGCAAACNGGAUUAGAUACCCUGGUAGUCCACGCCCUAAACGAUGUCAACUGGUUGUUGGUCCUUCACUGGAUCAGUUAACGAAGCUAACGCGUGAAGUUGACCGCCUGGGGAGUAACGG